AGAGUUUGAUCCUGGCUCAGGAUGAACGCUAGCGGCAGGCCUAACACAUGCAAGUCGAGGGGCAGCACGGGUAGCAAUACUUGGUGGCGACCGGCGCACGGGUGAGUAACGCGUAUGCAACCUACCCUUAACUGGGGAAUAGCCCGAAGAAAUUCGGAUUAAUGUCCCAUAAUAUAAUUUUAUCGCAUGAUAGGAUUAUAAAAGCUCCGGCGGUUAAGGAUGGGCAUGCGUGACAUUAGCUAGUUGGUGAGGUAACGGCUCACCAAGGCGACGAUGUCUAGGGGGCCUGAGAGGGUAGUCCCCCACACUGGUACUGAGACACGGACCAGACUCCUACGGGAGGCAGCAGUGAGGAAUAUUGCGCAAUGGAGGCAACUCUGACGCAGCCAUGCCGCGUGCAGGAAGACGGUCCUAUGGAUUGUAAACUGCUUUUAUACGGGAAUAAUUCCUGGUACGUGUACCGGGUUGAAUGUACCGUAAGAAUAAGCAUCGGCUAACUCCGUGCCAGCAGCCGCGGUAAUACGGAGGAUGCAAGCGUUAUCCGGAUUUAUUGGGUUUAAAGGGUGCGUAGGCGGAAUUGUAAGUCAGUGGUGAAAUCUUGCAGCUUAACUGUAAAAUAGCCAUUGAUACUGCAGUUCUUGAGUACAGUUGAGGUAGGCGGAAUGUGUAAUGUAGCGGUGAAAUGCUUAGAUAUUACACAGAACACCAAUUGCGUAGGCAGCUUACUAAGUUGUAACUGACGCUGAUGCACGAAAGCGUGGGGAUCGAACAGGAUUAGAUACCCUGGUAGUCC
rnacentral:rRNA from 1 species